AUUGAACGCUGGCGGCAGGCUUAACACAUGCAAGUCGAACGAGUGGCGGACGGGUGAGUAAUGCUUGGGAAUCUACCUUAUGGAGGGGGAUAACUACGGGAAACUGUAGCUAAUACCGCGUACCAUAGGAUGAGCCCAAGUGGGAUUAGGUAGUUGGUGAGGUAAAGGCUCACCAAGUCGACGAUCUCUAGCUGGUCUGAGAGGAUGACCAGCCACAAUAGAACUGAGACAAGGCCCGUACGCCUACGGGAGGCAGCAGUGGGGAAUAUUGCACAAGAGGGGCAAGCCUGACGCAGCCAUGCCGCGUGUAUGAAGAAGGCCUUAGGGUUGUAAAGUACUUUCAGCGGGGAGGCGUUACCCGCAGAAGAAGCACCGGCUAACUCCGUGCCAACAGACGCGGUAAUUC
rnacentral:rRNA from 1 species